rnacentral:ncRNA from 1 species
AAAGGCAAAGUAAACGAAAGUUUAUGACGCAAAGCUAUAGGGUCUAACACACUUACAAAAAUUAAGUGCCAUGACAGCCAGUUGC